rnacentral:rRNA from 1 species
GUAAAGCACUUUCAGUAGGAGGAAGGUAGUGUAGUUAACACCUGCAUUAUUUGACGUUACCUACAGAAGAAAGCACCGGCUAACUCCGUGCCAGCAGCCGCGGUAAUACGGAGGGUGCGAGCGUUAAUCGGAAUUACUGGGCGUAAAGCGCAUGCAGGCGGCCUGUUAAGUCAGAUGUGAAAGACCCGGGGCGUUAACCUACGGAAUUGCAUUUAGAAACUGGCAGGCUAGAGUCUUGUAGAGGGGGGUAGGAAUUUCAGGUGUAGCGGUGAAAUGCGUAGAGAUCUGAAGGAAUACCAGUGGCGAAGGCGGCCCCCUCGGACAAAGACUGACGCUCAGAUGCGAAAGCGUGGGGAGCAAACAGGAUUAGAUACCCUGGUAA